GGCUCUAAACUAAAUAAACACAACUAAAUAACGAUGGGCUCCUAAUUAGCCUCAAGUUCUGGAGCACGUCAGUACCUCACAGAACCCAAAAUCAUUGCACAAGAUCAACUGCCAAGAGUGGUGCUCGAACUAGGAUCUACACCAAAAGACCAUAGUAGGGAUGAGUAUAGUCCACUUGUACUCAGAAGGUAUCAUAGAUCUUUUUUGCAGAAACAUGACUUUUAGAGUCGCCACUUAAUUUAUUAAGGAAAAUCAAGAAAACCUUUAUAAAUUACUUUAAAAAUUCAAAACAGAAAAAUCAUUUAAGUUUCAAAAUUCUAGGUAAGUGAUUCUCAUUAACAUUUUAGGAAGGUUUUUAAGGCACCUAAAAUGUCCGCUAACUUGCGGUUAUCCAGAUUUUUUGAAAAUAAUUUUUCUUUUGACUAACUUUUAAAAGAAAAAUUGCUUUUUUGAAAGAAAGAAAGUGAAAACAAACUUGUUUAAGAAUCAAUUUGCCGACUUAAUAGAGAAUUUAACUAAGUCUAAACAAAUAAAGUCGCAAAUAAGUAUGUAAAGGGGAGAGGGAGAAAUAAAGGACUUAGGUUCGUAAGCCCAAAUCCAUUAUCCCUGUCCUAAUCUAAUUGGCUUUUGGCCCGCUUGCACCUGUCCUAAUCUAAAUAUCGGGCUUUUGGCCCAUAACCUGUCCUAAACUAUUUUUUUCAGACCCUUUGGCCCAGAAUCGGCUUCAUCUGUAUUAGUUUACAACUUUUGCUUUGAGGCUCAAAUGAAUAAAUAAUGAAAUAAAUAAAUAAAUAAAUAAAUAGAAAAAAGGACUAUAAUAACUAAAAGGAAAAAUGAUACUUUAAAGUCUCUUAGCCACUUCAAUGAUGGGAAUUUCAUCUAUUUUCCUUCUUCCGACUUCUCGUA
rnacentral:lncRNA from 1 species